AUGAAAUCUUUAUAUAUAUAUAAUUAGAUUACUAUACUAUUAAUAGCAUCAAGUUAUUAAUGCUAUUAGAUUUUCGAUCCUUAAAUGAAAGAAUGUACGGUUUGGUAGAUAGUGGUCCCUAAAAUUGAGUCGGUACUUGGUUGAAUAAUAUAAUCUAACGGAUAAAAAUGAUCAAAAAGAUAAAUCUAACGGUGAAAAAUUUGGUAGCACAAGUGCUUAGUGCUCUUGAUAGCAUAGUAACCGGACUCUCUCUAUAUAUUAUAUAUGUAAUUUACACUCUCAUCAAAUCUCUUUCUAGCAUCUGCAUCAUAAUAUAAAAGAAGAAUGAAUACUAUAUAUAUAUAUAUAUGUACAUACAUAUAUCCACGAUAGAUCGUAAGCACCAAUCAACUAUUCCAAAAACACGUACCGAUAAGAAGGAUGCACCUCUCGCACUUAAGGGUUCAAUCACAGUGCUCAGGAAUUUCGACCUGAAUUAAUCCAUCUGAACAUUAGGUCUCUUACCGUUAGAUCUUUUGUGAAUCAUAAUUAACCCCACUCAACUUAUUAGAUUCAUCCAACUUGACUUAUUAACCUCAUAAACCUUUUUAUUACGGGACAGAAAGUUUAAUCUAUUUUAGUUCAAUAAUAAAUAGCCAGCAUACACCUCAUAAUGAUGCGUGCACAACUACUCCGAUGAAAUUCAAAACUACUUAUCUUCCUUUUCUAACUUUUACCAACAACAAAUUAAAAGCUAAAAAAUCCAAAAAAAGUUAAAGAAUAGACAAGCUAGGCCAAAGUCAUAAAACAAUCUUUGGACACAGGGUCAGAGUAAUACUUUGGUGAGCUUUAUACACUAUCCCAUAAUUAUAUCGCACAAAUAAAUCCCUCUAUAUAUAUAUAUAUAUAUAUAUAUAUAUAUAUAUAUAUAGCAUGUGUAUAUUAAUUAAUACAUCAAUGCCUUUUUUUUUACGAAAAAAAGAAAAAGAAAUUUAAAAAUACAGGUAAGAGUACUCACCAUGCUGUUGUUGUUGGUGGCACGUGACCAUGCAGCGAUAACACACCAAAAGUUGUCAUAUAACAAUUGGAUCUAAUCAGAAUUGGCCAUGUCGCCACCCACUGUACGUACUCAUGGGUCUCUCUCUCUCUCUCUCUCUCUCUCUCUCUCUCUCUCUCUCUCUCUCUCAAUGUUUUGGCCACAUACAAGGUGUUUGUCGAGCUACGGAACAAAUAGAUACACUGCCAUUUUUUAUGCUACAUGUUUACAGCUACAUGGCAACUCCGAAUGUUACGUACAUUUUUAAUCACAAUCACGGGGAACCAUUAAUUUUACGAUUCUUUGGAAAUUGGAGCUCGCAAAUUUGCUGGUGCUCCACUCAUCAGAAACAGUGGAGAUACAACUGGGAAACUGGCCCAGUGUCUUUUCUUUUUUUAACUAUGGAAAUUACAUAUAUAUACUUUUUUCUAUAGCAUUUAUUGCAUGCAAAAAUAAUAAUAUGUGACCUUUACUGUAGAUGAACUGAAAUAUAACAAAUUCUACUGUUUAGUUCUAGGAGCAAUUUGGACGUGUACUUAAAGUCUUAAACAAAGAAAGAAAUAAUAAGAUGACGUGUCAAUUUAGCCAUCUUUCAUCCAGUUUAGGUGGAGGGAUAAGAUUGACUUUUUGUGGUCUAGCUUUUGAGCUGUAGCCAAACCUCGUGAUAAAUUGUAUUAAUUAAUAAUAUUUAUGAAAAAAAUCAUGCGGUGGUGAUCAGGCAUUGGAAGGAGAUAGAGUGAAAGUACGGAUCGUUUUAAGAAGUCAAGCUAGUAAUUGAAAGUACGGAUCAAUUUAGAAAUUAAGUCAAACUCUAUUGAUUCUCGCACAAAAAAACGAAAAAGAAAACAUGUGUUAGUCAAAGAAAACAAUCUGGAAAGGCAAACCUCGAUCGAUCAACUCACGUACAUGAUGGAGGUCCGAUGAACACAUCACACGUCUUACCCGGAGAUGCGACAAAAUUGAUUGACGGAGGUUUUUAACUGAAUCGUAAUUAACAGGAAUCUGAACUCACAACCUUGUGAAACUGAUGACGCUAAUUAGGAAAGCAAUA
rnacentral:lncRNA from 1 species